ACUUUUCUCCACUGGCUUGGUUGGGAACUGGCUUCUUCGGAGCCGUGUAGUCUUAAUUUGCUUUGCUGCUGGCUGGCUGACAGCUGAUGGGGGACUCCUCAGGACGGACUCCCUUCCAGAGGCACCCAUCUCCAUCCUUCUCAACUCCCCAACCUUUGUCCUCCCCACUCUUCGCUCGCGCGGCGGUCUGAGACCACCAGGACCAGUUUCAGGGGUUUCCUUCUCCAGCGAGACUUGGCAGAACAGGCUUUAAAAGCAAAGGAGGCAGCGGAAGACUGUGAAUUCCUUUGGACAAUUGAUGAUAUUUAUCAUUGUGCCCAGUUUCUACAAAUAAAAGAUGGGUGGAUUAUUUUCUCGAUGGAGGGUUGAACCGUAUGAAAUUGCCAGUAUUCAACUGCUUGGACUUAGCAAAAUGUCAAUUUCAUAUGGUUAACUCUAAUGUUAACAACUCUUAUGGAAACUACAAUGAACUGAUAUUCAUUACCCUCUUGGAUUGUUGAGUAUGUAAUUGACAAAACCUUCAACUGUAGAAGUUCUAGAAAGUAUAGAUAAGG
rnacentral:sRNA from 1 species